GAUGAACGCUGGCGGCGUGCCUAAUACAUGCAAGUCGAGCGAACAGAUGAGGAGCUUGCUCCUCUGACGUUAGCGGCGGACGGGUGAGUAACACGUGGAUAACCUACCUAUAAGACUGGGAUAACUUCGGGAAACCGGAGCUAAUACCGGAUAAUAUAUUGAACCGCAUGGUUCAAUAGUGAAAGACGGUUUUGCUGUCACUUAUAGAUGGAUCCGCGCCGCAUUAGCUAGUUGGUAAGGUAACGGCUUACCAAGGCAACGAUGCGUAGCCGACCUGGGAGGGUGAUCGGCCACCCUGGAACUGAGACACGGUCCAUGCUCCUACGGGAGGCAGCAGUAGGGAAUGUUCCGCAAUGGUCGAAAGCCUGACGGAGCAACGCCGCGUGAGUGAUGAAGGUCUUCGGAUCGUAAAACUCUGUUAUUAGGGAAGAACAAAUGUGUAAGUAACUAUGCACGUCUUGACGGUACCUAAUCAGAAAGCCACGGCUAACUACGUG
rnacentral:rRNA from 1 species